rnacentral:lncRNA from 1 species
GGAUCAUCAUGACUCGCCGCCGCCGGAGGAGGAGCACCGGCGCCGGAAGUAGAGUGUGUAGAUUCGUACUCGUUGAGAUACUUCUCGGCCUUCUCGAGGUACUGACCAGCACCGCUUUUUUCAUCGAGCUUACCGUACUUCUCGGCGGCGUCUAAGAUAUCAGCGCUGGCUCCGGCGACUUUACCCUUGUCGAGUUUGUCGGAUUCGUUACGAGCUGCGGCUUGAGCAGCUUCGGCUACAAUCUUGGCACUAGCCAUGACCUCGGCGGAGGAAGCUGGUCUAUUGGUUGUUUCGGUUCCUUCGACGGGCUUGUUGUGCUCCGGCUCCGCCGUUUUCGUGUCGGAGAGUUUCUUUACCUGAUCAGAGAUGAAGUUCAUCUUUUGGUUUUUUUUUUUCUCGCUGAAUAUAGUUUUUUUUUUGUUGGAUGUAAGAGUUAAGAGAAUGGGAUAUGUGUAUAUAUAGACAGAAAAUGGAUAUUUAUCCACUAUAGGGAUAUUAUUUUUUGUAGUUAAUAACAAUACAAUAUUGUGUACGUAACUCAUUUCUAUAUUAUUAUUUAAGUAGACAUUUUUAAAUAUAAAUUUUAUUUUGUAAAAUAUUACAUGAUAUAUCAUUACAAAUAUCAAAGAAUAAUUAAAUUAAAAAAGGAUAUAGUUAUCUUUCAAAUUUAUUGACAAAAAUAUGGAAAGUCUUUGUUUCUGAAUUUUAAAAUAUGAUAGUUUUUAUAUUUUUGUUUUAAAUAAUAUCAUAAAGUAUAUUUAAUUAAAAAACAUGAAAAUAUUUUGUUUUCACAAUUAAAUAAUAUAAAAGUCAAAACUAAAAUUUAUAAUAUUUAAAAAUGGUGAAAUAUUUUUUACUUUAAUUUGCUAUAUUUAUUUCAUUAUAUAUGAAAUUUAUUUUAAAUUAUUUUUUACCAAAAAAUGACAUGAAAAAAUAAUUUUUAGAAUAAAAAAUUAAUAUUGAAGUGAGAUUUAUUGAUGCCUAUUAUAAUUAGUUUUAUAUUUUAAUCCAGUACAAACAAGUAAACGGAUUAAUUCGGUAUGAAUGAAUUAUAAUUCUAAUUUUUUAAUAUUCACCAAAACAAAUUUUGCAUUUCAAAAUAUUAGUUUUAAAAUAGGUGGUAUAUUAAAUCCACUAAAUAUUAUAAUUUGUCUUUAAGAUUAAAUAAAUUUUGUUGCAUUUUUAUUUAUUAUAUAUCAAAUCUAAGUUUAAAGAAUAUUAUACUAUUUUCAUAUAUUGUUAGAAGAUAAAAAUAUUUUUUUAUAGUUUGUGGACAGAUUAUAAAAUUCAGUUACUAAGCGAUGUAGUUGAUUUUAAUGAUAUUAUAAUAUUUUGUGUAUUAGUUUGAAUAAUAUUUCAGUUUAAUGUUAACGGGUUAAAUGAACAGUUUAUUUUGCUUUAUCUUUUUAUAACAUAUACGGAUUAACUUAAUUUUUAUAAUUCAAACUAAAAAAAAAUUAUAUACGAAUCAACUCAUUUUUAAAAAUUCACAAAAUAUGCACUACAUUAUCAUAAACUUUAUAGAAAUAACUGUUUUUAUAAAAUAACUAUUUUUGUAAAAUGAUUUAACUUAAUUGAAGAUAAAAAAAUGUUUCCAAAAAGAUCUAGUCACUUUAGUUUGUCGUGUUUAAUACUCCUACUAUUUCUUCUUAAUAAUUGUUGUGUAUGUUACAACUUACACAAAUGUGUAUAUCUUUGUAAUUUGUACGUUGAUGAGGUUACCUAAUAGGCUAAUACACUAACAAUUGUUAAUGUCGUUGUUUGUCGUGGCCGAAAAUACAUUUAGGGAUCAGUUAUUACAAAAUAUUUGUGACGAAUGUGCUGUUCUCUUGUCGAUCACACAUAUUAGAUAUUUCUUUUGUGGUGUUCAAUGCAUUGUCCUAUCACAUAAACAUCUAUGAAAUUAUUGUUUUCCAUUGAAGGUUGUCGUGUUGGUGGAAGCUUUGAUGGGUGAUAAAGGCAAUCACUUUAUUUUGUCGGCAGAGUAAUACAAGCUUUUUUUUUUUUUUUUUCUUUUCUAUUAAUCUCCCAGCUUGAUUCGGGUGCCCUAAGCAAAUUAGUUGAGCCCACAAUAAGUGACAUUAGUGACCCAAUAUUUACAUUGUGUUCUUAAAAGUUUUUAAACCCGAUUAGCGUUAGUGACAGAUACAUUUUAGAAAGGGCUCCAUCCGGGUUUUGUUGGCUUCGGUUUGAUAGAAUAGUAAUUAACGCAAAAUGGAAUCUUAUAUGAACCGGUUUGGCAUGAUGUUUAUAUUGGUUUGAGUUUGACUUUAAAUCAAAUAUAUGAAAUUCCAAAAAUUAAGUUCGAUUUAUUUUCUCAAUUUGGAUUUUUUUCUUUUCCUUUUCUAAUUUAAGAGAGAGUAUUAUAUUAUCAUGUGGUGGUUUUAAAUGGGUUCAAUAGGGUACAUGAUAAGCUCUUGAAAACAAAAGAUUUCCUGCAUUUGUAUUUAUGCGGUGGUGUCUGUUGGUUUUCUUAUGCUUCCAGGACCGUAUAAAGUCACUAUAAACAAGACAUCUGAAGCAAUGAUAUUUUUGGUUUUUCAGCUACCCAUGAAAACCAAGCUGAAGACGAUGAUGCUGCUCACGUUGAGGCGUUGGCCUCCCCUCCGGUCCUGAUAUCACUACCCGAGGUACCGCAGACCCCGAUAUGCCGGAUUGAUGCUUUUUGGAUCAAUCACGGACAGGUUAGCGGCCUUGGUUGGAGUUUUAAGGAUGACAGAGGAACAGAGAUUUUUGGUCUACAGAGAUGUCGUAGAAGUCUCUCGGCUCUUCACGCCGAGAUGGAUUGCCUCUUAUGGGCUAUGUCAUGCCUGAGAGAAAUACAGAUGACGUCGGUGCAUUUUUAGACCGACUGCUCGGAUCUUGUGAGCAUGUGUGAAUCACCAGCAGACUGGCCAUCUUUUAAGACAGAAUUGGAAUCCUUUUGUAUACUUCGCGAGAGCUUCUCAGAGUUUACCUUAUCCUAUAUUCCGAGAAUUCAAAAUGUCCGGACGGAUAGUCUUGCAAAAUGAGCUCGAGCGAGAGGAGUUAUUUUUUCCCAAAUCGAUCAUAACGAGCCGGUCGAAGAUGGUUUUCAAACCACUUCUAAGAUAGGCCAAAUGUGAUUGUAAUAGUUGGAUAGCGGAAAAAAAAAAGCUACUAAUGAAUUUUUUUGAUAAAACUGUUGAACGACGUAAGAUAUGAUGGAUCGAUUCAAGAUAUUCUACGGUCUUUCUUUCUGUUAGAAUUUAUUUUAAUUAAUUUUUGGUUGAAAUAAGUUAAAAAAGCUAUUUAUAUUUUGAAAGCUCACAUUCAAAUUAAUUGAUUUAGUUCCAUUUUUGGUCAUAGUUUUAAAACCACCUGUUAUUUAUAAAAAAAUUUCAAUGGCAUACAAAUAUUUUGGUAUUUCAGCACUACUUGAAAUAAAAAUACCAAGAUAAUUACGAAAAUUGGUUCGAAAAAAUCAUAUGUAAAACUCGUUGAUCCAAAUCUGCUGCACUCUGUUUUCGCUGUCCCAUAUGCACAAAAACCACACAAGAUAAUCUUAAGGUAAUUUCAAGAAACUUCUUGUUGUUUCUAAAAUUAAAUGCAGAUCUGUUUUUUUUUUUUGUUUUGUUGUUGCUCUUUGCCUUAUUGAUGUUUCUUUCUUUCUCUUUGUAUGCAGCAUUGUCUAUGGCUUUUUGUGUCUAACAUCAGUGGAUCAAGCUGAUCAACUGGCAGAAAAAACUCAAAUCUUUCAAAGAUGGAAACUUUUUUUUUGUUUUUCCUGUAAAUUAUCCAAACUUUUAAUAAAUGUUACUUUUGUGAUUUUUCUAUGCAACAAGAUUUGAAAGAACAAUGUUUCUUCGUUGUGUAGCUAUCAAAAGGUGUCUUUGGCGUAAGAAUCAGAGGAGAACAUUUUCCACUAAUCUCCAAAUAUCUCAAGUGCACUCCAACAUAAUUGGAGAAGCAAUAGGUUUGAACUCCGGGGAUCGAGUGAGACUCUAGGGAUUGAUUAGAAUAAGCAACAUUUCCUUAUCUCCUUAGACUUCAAAUUUUUUUUUUCUUGACAAAAGCUUCAAAAACAUUUAUAACAUUUUUUCAGAUAAAAGUGACUUUACUAUUUAUGUUGAAUGAAUUAAAUUUGUUGAUGAUACAUGUGAAGAAAUUUAAAUAUACACUUUGUAAUUAUAAGGAAUGAAUUCAAUUAUGUGCAAACGUAGGACAGUGGAUAUAAGCACUAUGAAGUUUAACUAUCUGUAAAUGUUCUAAUUUCAAAGAAUGAAAAAACUACUUUCCUAAAUUAACAUGUGACGAGUCAUAAUCAUAGUGUUGAAUUACACUUUUAUUUGUCUUAGGUAAACGUUUUCUCUCUGGAGACUGUUAAGAUCCAAUGGAUGACUUUGAAACUUAUUGGAGGAUAGAUCAUCAUCAAGUGCAUUCAAACAAAAUUGGCCAAGCAAUAGGAUUAAUCUUUGGGGAUCGAGUACCUUUGGGUAGACCUCAUUGUUGCAAAGCCUCCUUCUAAUAGUAACAGUGGUUAGAUACCAGAAUCUAUUCCCAAAAAGAUUGUGAAACCUGCAAGAUUUGAGAGUUUCUAUGGACAGUUGCCGGAUGAAAUCUUUAUACACAAUAUUCAAAGAUAUGGUGUAUAUGAUAAGUAAACAAUAAUUUUUUGAUGAGUUAUAAGUAUCCUACCAUAUAAAUGAGAAUUUUAAAAUCUCUGUACACAAUUCAAAGCUUGCAGAAUUUUUUAUUUUAUUUUGGUAAAAAAAGCUUGUAGAAUUUAAUUUCAAUAAAGAUAAUUCGAAAACAAAUAUUUGAGGAUUUUUUCUCCCUUUCAUAUGGUAAAUUUCGGUUUAGUCUGGCUAUAGCCGGCCAAUAUAGUUGGUAUUAACUUAUUUUGUUUGGUUGGUUAAUGAUUUUUAUUUGAUUUUGGGUAAAAAUCAUAUGUGGUCUUAAACUAUUAAUGUUUCUCGAAGCGUUUGUUUUAUGAAAUCAAUGGGCAAAUUUUAGGUUAAAGACAAAUAGUUGGCGUUCAUUAAUUGAAUGGUGGAGUGGUUUCUGUAAUAUCAUUUCUCACACACACACACACGCACAUACACACACUAUAUAGCUACAAAUAUCUGAGAUCCUCUGUUUUAGUGUCAGAAACAGAGACAUGCUUUUCCAGGGAUUUUACCGGUAGUACGGACAAUUCCGGCUUUCUCCUUAACCUUGAGCUCUUCAUUCUGCCUUUGUUUCUCCGCCUGAGCUCUGGCUCCGGCAGCAAUCUGUUCAAUGUAUUCUGUGUCUUCUCUAAAUCUCUGCAAACCUCUCUUCCUCCUCUGUUCUAGUUCGCUCUGCUGUUCAUGUACCAACCGGUUAGAGACAAAAAUCUCAAAUCAUCAUUCAGUUAAAUGAUCAUGAGAUUAGAUUGAAAAAAAAAAAAAUUCAAACUAUAUUAUCAACCUCGGAUUUGUCCAGCUUCCUUCGA